rnacentral:rRNA from 1 species
GACGAACGCUGGCGGCGUGCUUAACACAUGCAAGUCGAACGGAAAGGCCUGCUUUCCCUUGUGGAUUGCGGGUACUCGAGUGGCGAACGGGUGAGUAACACGUGAGUGAUCUGCCCCCAACUUGGGUAUAAGCCUGGGAAACUGGGUCUAAUUCCCGAUAGGACUGCAGGGUGGUGCCUGUGGUGGAAAACGAUUUUCUAGUGGUUGGGGAUGAGCUCGCGGCCUAUCAGCUUGUUGGUGGGGUAAUGGCCUACCAAGGCGGCGACGGGUAGCCGGCCUGGGAGGGUGGACGGCCACAUUGGGACUGGGAUACGGCCCAGACUCCUACGGGAGGCAGCAGUGGGGAAUAUUGCACCAUGGGCGGAAGCCUGAUGCAGCGACGCCGCGUGGGGGAUGACGGCCUUCGGGUUGUAAACUCCUUUCGACCGCGAGGAAGCCACCUGGUUGGAAGGGUGGUGACGGUAGUGGUAGAAGAAGCACCGGCUAACUACGUG